rnacentral:rRNA from 1 species
AUGAACGCUGGCGGCGUGCUUAACACAUGCAAGUCGAACGAGAAGUGAAGACGGAAACCUUCGGGCGGAAGGCUUUAUUUCGAGUGGCGGACGGGUGAGUAACGCGUGGGUAACCUGCCUCAUACAGGGGGAUAACAGUUGGAAACGACUGUUAAUACCGCAUAAGACCACAGCACCGCAUGGUGCGGGGGUAAAAACUCCGGUGGGAUGAGAUGGACCCGCGUUCGAUUAGCCAGUUGGCGGGGUAACGGCCCACCAAAGCGACGAUCGAUAGCCGAUCUGAGAGGAUGACCGGCCACAUUGGGACUGAGACACGGCCCAAACUACUACGGGAGGCAGCAGUGGGGAAUAUUGCACAAUGGGGGAAACCCUGAUGCAGCGACGCCGCGUGAGUGAAGAAGUAUUUCGGUAUGUAAAGCUAUAUCAGCAGGGAAGAAAAUGACGGUACCUGAGUAAGAAGCCCCGGCUAACUACGUG